rnacentral:lncRNA from 1 species
UUUUCUUUUCCUCCCCCCCAAAACCCCCCCCACCACUUCCCUAGCCUAUGCACAAUUUGUCUGGGUAUCACAUGUGUCCUUGCUCUGAACCCAUUUCCUUGUUGUUGGUAUUUGCAUUAGGGUGCUCAUUUAGCGUCUCUCCUCAGAUCAUGUCCCCUCAACCUCUGUAGUCAAGCAGUUGCUUUUCCUCGGUGUUUUUACUCCCUCAGUUUGUCCUCUGCUUGAGGAUAGUUUAGUUGUUUGUUUUGUUUUUUUUUUUUCUCGUAGAUCGCUGUAGGUUGUUCAGGGACAUUGUAAAGCCAUUACUGGAGAAGUCCAUUAUGUUCUCUCUGACCACAAUGUGUCAGUCUCUGUGUACAAUGUUCUCCUGGUUCUGCUCCUCUCACUCUGCAUCACUUCCUGGAGGUUGUUCCAGUCUCCAUGGAAUUCCUCCACUUUAUUAUUCCUUUGAGCACAAUAGUAUUCCAUCACCAACAUAUACCACAAUUUGUUCAGCCAUUCUCCAAUUGAAGGGCAUCCCCUCAUUUUCCAAUUUUGUUCAGCCAUUCCCCAAUUGAAGGGCAUCCCCUCAUUUUCCAAUUUUUUUUGCCACCACAAAGAGUGAAGCUAUGAAUAUUUUUGUACAUAUAUUUUUCCUUAUCUAUGAGGUUCAAUCAUACUAUCAUUUAAACAAACAGGUUAAAACUUUGAAGAACUGGCAGACUCAUCAACUAAAUGGUUGGGGAAAUUUUGGGGGCUAUGUUCCUUGGCUUUAUUGGGCUAUAAAGCCCAAUAAGAAUUGGCUGUAAAUCCAUACCACCCUACAAGCAUAGAGAAAUGAUGCUUUAGUUUGCAUUGAGCUUCUAAUGGGGAACCCUUU